GAUGAACGCUGGCGGUAUGCUUAACACAUGCAAGUCGAACGGAAUCUUCGGAGUUAGUGGCGGACGGGUGAGUAACGCGUGAGAAUCUGGCUGUGGGUUCGGGACAAUCACUGGAAACGGUGGCUAAUAACGGAUGUGCCGAGAGGUAAAAGAGAAAUUGCCUGAAGAUGAGCUCGCGUCUGAUUAGCUAGUUGGUGAGGUAAAGGCUCACCAAGGAAGCGAUCAGUAGCUGGUCUGAGAGGCUGACCAGCCACACUGGGACUGAGACACGGCCCAGACUCCUACGGGAGGCAGGAGUGGAGAAUUUUCCGCAAUGGGCGAAAGCCUGACGGAGCAAUACCGCGUGAGAGAAGAAGGCUCUUGGGUUGAAAACCUCUUGUCUGAGAGAAGAACAAAAUGACGGUACCUAAGGAAUCAGCAUCGGCUAACUCCGUG
rnacentral:rRNA from 1 species